UACGGAGGGGGCGAGCGUUAUUCGGAAUUAUUGGGCGUAAAGGGCGCGUAGGCGGCUUGAUGUGUCAAAGGUGAAAUCCCUCGGCUCAACUGAGGAACUGCCUUUGAAACUGUCUGGCUUGAGGCCGGGAGAGGGUAGCGGAAUUCCCAGUGUAGCGGUGAAAUGCGCAGAUAUCAGGAGGAACACCGGUGGCGAAGGCGGAUCUCUGGGCCUGUCCUGACGCUGAGGCGCGAAAGCUAGGGGAGCGAACAGG
rnacentral:rRNA from 1 species